rnacentral:lncRNA from 1 species
AUACUACUUUGUGAUAAUUGUUGGGCAUGAUUUGGUCUAACCGAUAGCAAGGCCGUAAUCGAGCUGAAGAGAAGUAUUGGGCCCAAUAUCAAAAAGGAAGCGAGGUGGUAUGGUCAAGGGCGUUCUGCACGAUCUCCGGGGGCGCUUGAGACGAUCUUUGGAAGACACAGCUAUAAGAAGAGAAGGGAAAAAGAGAGAAGAACAAUUCAAACAUUUAACCUGAGAAAAGCAAAGGAUUUCUCGCUCCUGAAAAAGUCAUUUCUCUCUCCUGCGACGAAAAAAGUGAUCAGGGCUUCUUCCGAGUCACGCCGCUCACUGACCUCACGUCGGUGGCCGAGAAAAUCCUCUGUCGUCCCCAUGAAUCCAAAAUCGAUGCCUAUUUCUGGUACGCCACCAACGGUAGCAACCGAAGGAAUCCCCCUUUCUCCCACAAAAGUCAUCUUGUCAAACUCGGGUACAAAUUCAAAGCAACAACCUUUCUCAGCUCAGGGCUCGUUAUCGGAAGCGUCGGUCCCCUCGAACGCCCAAAGAUUCAAAUCCUCACUCAGAAACCUAAGAAAGAUC